UGUCAACAAGGUGGGAUGAAGAGGCUUAAAUGGAAGGAUAGUGGGGGAAGCGGUGGGUGUGAUGAGAGAUAUGCUAGAGCGGCAGUGGGCCCCCAGUUUGCGGAGGGGACAUUUGGGCCCCACCAGCACUGAGGGGGGGAAGCGCGAGGGUGACAGCCCACCCAGGCUCAAGAUGCGGCGUCAAAUCGACGGCGAUCCAUGAUGGCUUGAGGAUUAAAUCAUCGUUGAAACAGAAAAAGACGAAGACAGGAAGCUCUAGGUUAGUAAAAUAAGUGAGGAUUAAGAAUUGGGAGGGAUCAAAAGGUGCUUAUCUGCUGAAAUCAUUCAGUUGCAGAGCAUUGGCGGUGGUGAACAAGUGGGUGCAGGAAAAAGCUGAAUUGUUGUCUUGAUGUUGGUGUUACGCUCCAAAGCCAACUUUGGUGACCUCGCAUUCCAAGAAUCGAGGCCUGUUUCCGAGUCGGCCUCUACUACGUGAAUCACCCGAUCGUCGGCAGAGGCCAGCUGGGAUUCGUUUCUUCUGUCUUGGAAGUCACCAAAGAUCACAAGUCAUCAUUGUAGCUUCCGCUAAGCUGAGAAAUAAUCCCCCCCCAAAAAAAAAGGAAACACAUAAGAAAACCAACAUAUCAGGGAAAUCAAAAUCGAAAGAGAAAUGGUGAUUAAGUUGUUUGAUGACAUUUGUGCUAAUAGAUCCAAGCCUACAUAAGAUGAAACAAAUGUACUAACUUAAAGACGUUGGAAAUGGGAACAAAGGUAGGGACCUAUUCAACUGCAGUAGAAAGGUUGGAGAUUGGGAACUUACUGUAGGUAGAAGGCUCAAACCAUACAUAAAUGAACCAAGGGGGAUAACUCCUGUUAUGCCCGCUUAAAGGGUAUUAAUGCUCUUAGUUUGUACCGGAAUAACUCUGUCGAUUGUCCUCUUGGCCUAUAUUAGGGUUACUUUCUCAGAAGCGCCUGCAACACAGAAAGCGCACAAACGCUGCCCCUAGGAAGCAACAAGCAUCGGACGAUGGAUCAAUAAGCAAUAGAGAAGAGGAGGUUUCAGGAUUACAUGUCGGCCAAGGCGAAGGCGACGCUUGUGAGGGAGGAGGGAGCCCGAAUCGCUCAGUCUUCAUCCCGCCGAAGCCGCUUUAUUCUUUGCUCGCCGUGGGAGGGAGGGAAGGUUAGCAAGCGAGAUAUAUAUAGUUCUAUUUUUCCCACCUUUUUUUCGAAUUUAAAAGCCGCGCGCUCGACAGAUUAAACCAGCAAAUGUGCCCCACUCGAGUGGACCCGGUCGCUCGAGUGGGAUUUAUCCCAGUCUUAAUACUGAUAGAGAA
rnacentral:lncRNA from 1 species